rnacentral:lncRNA from 1 species
AUGGAAUCUUUGUCUCUCUAUAUAUGUUCCUGUCUCUCCUUCUCCCUCCCCCUCUCCCCCUCUCCCCAUCUCCCCCUCUCUCUCUCCCCCUCUCUCUCUCCUUCUCUCUACAGAGAUUCUCAGGUAAUUUAUUCUGACAGGACCCCUCCUGUCAGCAGAAGGUCAUCAGAACCUUCCGGAACGGAAUCCCCCGUUUGUAAGAUAUCUAGAGAAGAACUGGAAGCUUCCUUGGAUGAAGCCACAUUGAAGACAUCAUCUAAAGACGAGCCGGACUAUUCUUCUGUGGACAACAGUGCUCCAAGGAAAAUGCAAAGAGUCAAAAGUGAGACUUCCAUGGACCCCCCCGCCGACGCAGCAGCCACAAAGGUCUUGGGUCGUUCGAUAGACAACGUCUCAAGGAAGUCAUUCAGAGACGAGUGUCACGAGGUUCCGUUGGAGACUCACGUCUCAAAGAAGAGGUCUCUUCUAUCUAGAGACGUGAUCGGUGUGUCUCUGGACACCGGCUCCAGGCAGAUGAUGAGAGAGAGCUGGGGAGAAGCCUCAUUCAACAACUCCAUGAGAGGAAGACCCAGAGAAGAAAUGGUGGCGGCCGUUGGAACCCCAACGAGAAGGAUAUCCCGAGAGGAGGUGGACUUCUUAGCCGACGGCGCUCAGAGGAGGAUGGCGAUGGCCAGAGACAAACUGACCCUUCAUCUGGACAGCAACUCUUCUCACAAGAUGCUCAGUAAGAAGAUGGAGUUCCCAGUGGAACCACCAUCUGCCGCCACGAGGAAGAUAUCGAUAGACGAACACCAUGAGAUGUGCUCUCACACUAGCAGACGAACAAACAGCGAUAAGGUUGACAGAUCCAUAGACACUCCCACUGGGAAGAUCUACCCGGACAGGGUCGACAGUACCCCAGAAAUCCCCAAACGGAGGAUAUCCAGGGAGGAGUAUACGGUGUCGUCCCAGGUGGUUCACGAUCCCCAGGUUUUGGAUUGGGGUCAGUUCGGACAACCUGACCUCACCUUGUCCACACCAUGGAAACAAACCCAGACACCUGACCCUUAUACCUCCGACCACCUGACCGAACUGGUGUAUGACGGUAUUCUGGAGAAGUCCUGUAUCACCCCAGCAACGACCCCUGACCUGCCCCAGAGGAUCACGGAAGGAAGAGAGCGAGAAGGGAAUCCUCCUGUGCCGCCCCCGAGGAGCAGCCGGUCCCUAAACACGUUGCCCCCGGAGAUGAGAGGCGAGAGGCACCAAAAGGACAAAGACAAAAGCACGAAGUCGUCCAAACUCAAGAGCCUUUUUAAGAAGAGGAAAGAUCAUACCCCAGAACUGCCACAAGGGGGCCUGAACAAUCUCUGA